AAACACCACAAAGGAACGUGCUUCUUGUUGUGUUCGUUUUUCUCUUUCUUUCUUUCUUUCUUUCUUCUCUUAC
rnacentral:ribozyme from 1 species